UACGAGGGGUGCAAGCGUUAAUCGGAAUUACUGGGCGUAAAGCGCGCGUAGGCGGCUGAGUAAGUCGAUUGUGAAAUCCCCGGGCUUAACCUGGGAACUGCAGUCGAGACUGUCUAGCUAGAGUAUGGGAGAGGGAAGUGGAAUUUCAGGUGUAGCGGUGAAAUGCGUAGAUAUCUGAAGGAACAUCAGUGGCGAAAGCGACUUCCUGGACCAAUACUGACGCUCAUGUGCGAAAAGCGUGGGGAGCAAACAGG
rnacentral:rRNA from 1 species